CUGCCGUAUUCACUUUGAUACGGUUUAACCCACGUAAACAAUACCCUGUUUGUGUAAAUAUUUGGGAUAUUUUCUGUGUUUGAAGAAUUCUCGCUGUUCUCUUGUCGGCCAUCUUGAAAAAAAAUUGUGAAGGUCGUAUUUGGAGCUUUCCUGCGAGACGGCAGUUCAGAUGCAGUCGUCCUGUGUGUAAGAAACCUGGUGAUCAAAAUGGUUGAAGGCAGUACCCAAGAAAGUACAUUUACAAAAUUGUGAGGAGUAACCUAGCCUACAUUACCUGAAGCUCACCCAAUAUGCAGUGUGUUAUGAUCGGUCAAUAACAAAGCUCUCUGCAGUUAUCAAGACCAGGCUAAAGCUGCAUGCAGUGUUAUUUUGUCUGGUGGUCAAAGAAAAUGGAAAGUAUUCUCUGUAUGGCUGGUCUGACCUUAGUGGAGGUUGUUUGUUAAAAUGGUUUCGGGACAUUGAAGUAAAACAAUACAGGUAUGUCCCACCAAGAGUGAAGGGCUGUCUGUUGGCUUCAGAUUCCCAGUCCUCCUCGCUGAUGAUUUCUGAAGUCCUUACACAGUCACCCCAGUCUUCAACCUCGAAUUGUAAAGAUGAGAUGCCAUACACAGGGGAUCCGACAGAAGACAGCAGACAGAAUUCGUCGAUGUAUUUGAAAUAUCAUUGUUUAUUUGAAAAAAGUAACCUAUC